rnacentral:rRNA from 1 species
UACGUAGGGACCAAGCGUUGUUCGGAUUUACUGGGUGUAAAGGGUUCGUAGGCGGUGCGGCAAGUUGGGAGUGAAAUCUCUGGGCUUAACCCAGAGGCUGCUUUCAAAACUGCUGUGCUUGAGUGUGAGAGAGGCUCGUGGAAUUGCAGGUGUAGCGGUGAAAUGCGUAGAUAUCUGCAGGAACACCCGUGGCGAAAGCGGCGAGCUGGAUCACUACUGACGCUGAGGAACGAAAGCUAGGGGAGCAAACAGG